rnacentral:lncRNA from 1 species
GGGCAGGGGGAGGAUAUUGACAAGUCUGGAAAGAGUAGCUCUCCCAACCACAGGUUCAACCAAUGGCUCUUAAGCUGGUUACACAUUGGAAUCACCUGGAGACCCAUGGCAACUCCCACGGCGGUUCCCACCUUCCGAGAUCCUGAUUUGAUUAGCAGAGGAUGGGGCCUGGGCAUCUGUAUUUUUUAAGUCUCCAUACAUGAUUCAAGUGUGCAGAGGACUGAACGCCAUUGGGUUUGGGUUGAAAAGUGCGUGGGUUACCCCAGAGGGAACUUUGACUUUCAAUCUCUUCUCUGCGGACGUCCCUGUCAGAGGGAGGAGAAGAGAUGGAGAUAUAAUAAACCACCCCCAGACAGUGGCCAUGAAGCCCAACCGUGCAGAAGGUGCUCAAGGAGCACCUAUUUCGAGCAGAACCACGUCCAAUUGUUUACCAGGAAAUUAGAGGGGAAGAGCCAGCAGGCAAUUGUUUCCAUCCUUCCCGAUGACGAACAGGCUGACCACAGGCGGGAAACAUACCUAAAAAUAUUCAUCAUUACUGACAGAAGAAAAGAACAAUGAAAAACCCUGGAGUCCAUCCUGCCUGAGGGCCAACAUGUCUAAACCCCCUCCUUACUGCCCAUUUUCCCUAUGUAACUGCCUCAAGAUUCUGCAAUCCUUGAGGAUGGUUUCUCUGAGACAUUGGUCUGCCAUCUUCCUGAUUAUGCCGGCCACUCGAAUUAAAGCUUCUUUUCUCAAUCCCUAAUUUGUUAUGACUGAUUGAUUCAUACUGUGGCUAGUGGAGCAAGCCCAGGGCUCAUAUCACCCCUUUCCCAUUUCACCCUCCCCCUACACCCUUCCCCUCUAGUAACCACCAAUUUGUUCUCUGUAUCU